ensembl:lncRNA
GCACUUUGGCUUAAUAGAGUUGAGCCCCAUCAGUUGUUAUGUUUGGCGAGUUGCACUCAAUUAAAUGCCGAUCACCAGGCGUUGUGUGCACACACUCACACAUCACACUCCAUCUAAAACUUCUUACCUCAAGCUCUUCUGCAGUUUUCAGGGUAGAUGAAAGAAAUAGACAGCUUUAACGAAGCUUGGCCACUGUAUUCAACAAAUGCAUUCUGUGUUUUGUGUGUAUGUUUUUCAGUAUACAAUAGAUUCCAAGGGGUGUUGAAUAUGAAAGAGUUGUCAUUAUAAGGAUCGUUUUUUCAAUGCGACAAAAAACAAGAACUUUUUUUGUCAACUUAAAGGUACAGUGUGUAGGAUUUAGUAGCAUCUAGUGGUGAGAUUGCUGAAUUGCAACCAACUGAAUACCCCUUCCUUUACAAGCGUGUACGAGAACCUGUAGUAGCCGUCAAAUGCUACAAAAACACCAAAGGCCCUUUCUAGAGUCUAUUGUAGAAAAAUGUCAGUGCCACCUGGCUGCUCCUUGGAAGACGACCCAUUCCCUAUGUAAGUAUUAAGGGCUCAUUCUAAGCUAAAGGAAACACAGCGUUUCAAAGUGACAAGUGAUUAUAGACUAAUGAAAACAUAAUUAGGAAUAAUACAUUCCACUUCUGCUAAUAGAUCCCCUAAAUACUCCACACUGCACCAUUCAAAGUAAACAGAAUGUUGCUGUGAUGUCUCAUUUUGUUUGUCUGACGAAAGAGAACAGUUCAAAGUCUGGUAUUGAGUCUCCACUAAGCCCUCAAACACCUUGUCAUUUAUUGAAAUCAGAUGGUGAUAGAUGUGCUGUGCAUGUUCUGAUGAGGUCUAAGCAAGCUGCACUCCCCACUGGUCCAGACUACUCUGUGUUCCAACUGAGAUACGUGGCAACCACGGACUACAGUCCCAACACGCAUGCAUACAUGCAUAAAACUUAAAGGCACAUUUGCCAAGAUAACAGAUUAAAUGAUGAUGCUUCAAGUAUGUUCGAGGGUCAGGCAUGAAGCCACUUGUUUAAAAAAAAGAAAGAAAGAAAGAAAGAAAGAAAGACAAGAGUGCUCAAUAGUAUUUCAGUCUGAAACAAAGAUGCCUAUUGUUGGUCUUCUCGUAAAUGUCUUACUGCUAUUAUUUUAUUCAGUGCAUGUAAUCAUGAGUGAAAGCAGUUGGAUACAGUAAGCUUCAGAAAUGUAGUAAUUCAUCACAUGUUUGGCCCUUUGUGAAAGACUGCCAGGAUCAGAGAUUUCUGCCUUAGCAUGCCAGUUUAUUCUGCAUUCGUCCUGAAGCACCUCUUGUAUAUUCAGGACGGGCAAUGUGUAUUAACUCAGUGUGCUUCAUGAUUAAUGAAGGGAUUUGAUUUUGAGUUGAACCACCACAGACACCCCUGACAAACGAAAUAUUCAGUUGUACCACCGCAAAAUCAAACACUUUAUUUUUUUUUUUUAAACCACACUUUCCCGGUAGCAUGGCUGAGGCAAGACGACAUGAAAUAACAACAAAAAACAAACGACUGAAAGGAGGAAGGCAUCGACAGCAUUCAGCUGAAGAAAAAGCGCAGCAAGAGAGAAUGAAGAGAAGACAUUCAGCUAGUUAUUACAGCAGAGCACCCAUACAGUAUCUACAUGUUAGUGUCAGUGAACUGUGUCUCCUUCAAAAGGACCGCUAGAGUUCUUAAAAGUUUGUUUCCCAAAAAACGCGUUAAAAAAGGUUCCCCCGCUUCUCCCUGGCUCCGCAGUAACAGUCUGUGCUUGUACAGCAAUCUCGCUGGAUGAUGUCAGGGGAACCUCCAUCUGGCUUUGUGAGGGAAAAAAAAAACCAGAGACAGAAGGGAGGAGAGACUUGUUGCAUGUAGGUCCUAACGGUUCUGCAGGAGGAAGAGAUGAGCAGCGCGUUAGUCCAAACAGUCUUCUAGCAGCAGGCACGAGCAGCUCAUACUAUCACACACACUG